UCAGCAGGGAUUGUGUGUAUCGUCGUUGUGCCACUUAAUGCACUCUGAAUCGAAAGAUUUCCCUGCAAUAGAUAAUGGGGAAGAUGGGCAGUUGUUCUUCAUUCUCGUUGAAAGAUCAACAAUCAUCUUCCCCACAUUA